GACGUAGGGUCCAAGCGUUGUCCGGAUUUACUGGGCGUAAAGAGCGCGUAGGCGGUCCGUUAAGUGUAGAGUGAAAGCUCCGGGCUCAACUCGGAAAUUGCUCUGCAUACUGGCGGACUCGAGGACGGAAGAGGUUUGUGGAAUUCCUGGUGUAGCGGUGAAAUGCGCAGAUAUCGGGAGGAACACCGGUGGCGAAGGCGGUUCUCUGGACAGUUCCUGACGCUGAGGCACGAAAGCCAGGGGAGCAAACGGG
rnacentral:rRNA from 1 species